rnacentral:lncRNA from 1 species
UAACUGCUUUGAGUAAGUCUCUGAUUUACACACCCUAGAAACCAAACUCAAAAUUUUUACUUGAUAGAUUGAACUUGGAUACCUGUAUCAAAGACAAAUAUUUUGCUCUUCCUUCAGGGGAAAAAAGAAGAAUUAUUAGGGGCUUUCUACAACUGUUCGUGUCAUAGCAGUGUUCUGCGUAGUACAAGCAAAUAAGAAAAGAAACUGUUUGCAUUAAGGAUAUUGGAGUAGUGCAAAACUGUAAUCAGAUGAGCUCUGGAAAAUGCACCUGAAAGGAGAAGAGGAGGAGAGGGACUGACAUCUGGAAUGUUUGAUCGUGAUGCUCCGAUAGAUAACGAAUUAUUUCUCUAGUAUUUUCUGCAACACCAGCCAUAUUUAUGGAAAAAAUUUAUGUAACUUGUUUAAGAGAAAACAGUUCCAAAACGGGGCUUAACAAAGUUCUUCUCCAGGUCUUGGCUGCAGGGAGCCAGCAGCCCCCGUCCUGCGCGAUAGCCUGGAUGCGCCCGCCUCAUGCUGGGCCGGACGGUGCCGCUGAGCGGACCGCCCUGUCAGCCUGCGACUCCGACCCGUACAGGCCGCUGCUCCUGUGCACCGCGGAGCACAUCCGGACCGGCUGUACUCCACUUCCCAAGGGUGUCAGCAGUGCGAGUUUGGGCUUCUUAGGCGCAAGCGGCCCGGGCUCGCGGCCUGGAGUUAGGGACUCGGGGACGGAGCAGGGUCGGCGGCUUGACCUGCGCGCCGCAGCGGGACCCUCCCGCGCCCCACAGGCAGGAGCUGCCCGUGCCAUGUCAGCGCCCCCCCGCCCAUGGGACGCCGGAGAGCCGCGGAGGACCGAGCCGUGCGCGGGCGCUGAGCCCCGGUGCGGAGCCCCGUCCCGCCCGAGC